UACAGAGGUCCCAAGCGUUGUUCGGAUUCAUUGGGCGUAAAGGGUGCGUAGGUGGCGCCGUAAGUCGGGUGUGAAAUCUCGGAGCUUAACUCCGAAACUGCAUUCGAUACUGCCGUGCUUGAGGACUGGAGAGGAGACUGGAAUUUACGGUGUAGCGGUGAAAUGCGUAGAUAUCGUAAGGAAGACCAGUGGCGAAGGCGGGUCUCUGGACAGUUCCUGACGCUGAGGCACGAAGGUCAGGGGAGCAAACGGG
rnacentral:rRNA from 1 species